UGCAUCUGGUGUUAGUUCGGUUAUACCAGAAAUAAACUGUUUUAAUUCAUUCCCGUAACAAACAUGAAGAGUUGCAACUGCCACACCAGCCGCAAGCGGAUGCCAUCUUUUUAAUAUUGGACUAAACAUUUUCUUUUCUUUUGUUGCUAAUUCACCAACGUCUUUCGCGAGAAUAGCGAGAAUGGGAAGUGGGUUCGGUUGGUUUCUUGAUGCCCGCCUGCUUGAAUCUGCUUUCUCCAUUAUCUGCGUGCAUUAACAAGCAAAAUUUCAAAACAUUUAUAACUCUAGCAAAAAAGUAG
rnacentral:lncRNA from 1 species